rnacentral:rRNA from 1 species
UACGUAGGGGGCAAGCGUUGUCCGGAUUUAUUGGGCGUAAAGAGCGUGUAGGCGGCUAGAUAGGUCCGUUGUGAAAACUCGAGGCUCAACCUCGAGACGUCGAUGGAAACCAUCUGGCUAGAGUCCGGAAGAGGAGAGUGGAAUUCCUGGUGUAGCGGUGAAAUGCGCAGAUAUCAGGAGGAACACCAGUGGCGAAGGCGGCUCACUGGCCCGGUACUGACGCUGAGGUGCGAAAGCGUGGGGAGCAAACAGG